rnacentral:rRNA from 1 species
GAUGAACGCUGGCGGCGUGCCUAACACAUGCAAGUCGAGCGAAUGGAUUAAGAGCUUGCUCUUAUGAAGUUAGCGGCGGACGGGUGAGUAACACGUGGGUAACCUGCCCAUAAGACUGGGAUAACUCCGGGAAACCGGGGCUAAUACCGGAUAACAUUUUGAACCGCAUGGUUCGAAAUUGAAAGGCAGCUUCGGCUGUCACUUAUGGAUGGACCCGCGUCGCAUUAGCUAGUUGGUGAGGUAACGGCUCACCAAGGCAACGAUGCGUAGCCGACCUGAGAGGGUGAUCGGCCACACUGGGACUGAGACACGGCCCAGACUCCUACGGGAGGCAGCAGUAGGGAAUCUUCCGCAAUGGACGAAAGUCUGACGGAGCAACGCCGCGUGAGUGAUGAAGGCUUUCGGGUCGUAAAACUCUGUUGUUAGGGAAGAACAAGUGCUAGUUGACUAAGCUGGCACCUUGACGGUACCUAACCAGAAAGCCACGGCUAACUACGUGCCAGCCGCCGCAGUAA